AAACACACGCAGGUAGUAAACCGUUUUAUUGGAAACUGGUUAAAAAUUAAGGCACUCCAAGCUUUAUGGUUUCCUUGAGGUUACAGUUUUGUGGCUGCUCUUAGUGUAUUUCAGAAAAAAGCAGAUGGACGAAGACCGACCUUACAGACGUGGGUUUCUACACUGAGCGCAAGGGCUGACUACGCUGUAUUUCACAACCGAGCCCUAGCGCCAGCUCAGCACCCUACGCUCAGGAAGCGGAUUUUGCACACACACUACUGCAUUCAUACAGAGUUCACUGAAGUCUAUUACCAAGUGUCUUUUAUGAAUAAACAAUACAAAGUCCAAUUUUGAUGGCUGCUAUAAAAUACUUAGGAAUCUCUGCAAUACUUUACUACAAAUACAAAUGCCCAAGAGGUCAGGGAAAUCAGCCUGAAGAACUGGGUACAGGUUCUAUUCUUUGUGGAAAUUUCAGCCUAGGAAUGUUAUUCCCGGUACAGAUGUACACAGUCAAAAAGGCU
rnacentral:lncRNA from 1 species